GUAACUUUGGGUUUGACAGCUAGGUCUAGAGGGAAGUUGUGAGCAUUAUGUUCAUGCAUUACUUCCAUACCAAGGUCAGCACGAUUGAUGAUAUCAGCCCAAGUGUUGAUAACACGACCCUGACUGUCAACUACAGAUUG